CCUACGGGUGACAGCAGUAGGGAAUCUUCCACAAUGGGCGAAAGCCUGAUGCAGCAACGCCGCGUGGGUGAAGAAGGUCUUCGGAUCGUAAAACCCUGUUGUUAGAGAAGAAAGUGCGUGAGAGUAACUGUUCACGUUUCGACGGUAUCUAACCAGAAAGCCACGGCUAACUACGUGCCAGCAGCCGCGGUAAUACGUAGGGGGCAAGCGUUAUCCGGAUUUAUUGGGCGUAAAGGGAACGCAGGCGGUCUUUUAAGUCUGAUGUGAAAGCCUUCGGCUUAACCGGAGUAGUGCAUUGGAAACUGGGAGACUUGAGUGCAGAAGAGGAGAGUGGAACUCCAUGUGUAGCGGUGAAAUGCGUAGAUAUAUGGAAGAACACCAGUGGCGAAAGCGGCUCUCUGGUCUGUAACUGACGCUGAGGUUCGAAAGCGUGGGUAGCAAACAGGAUUAGAUACCCCAGUAGUC
rnacentral:rRNA from 1 species